CAUGGCCGCCUUUGGCUUCAGUACGUGUGGCCCUGAGCCUGGACCCUCAGCGUCCUCUUAGAGCUGAAGGGUGGCCCUGUGCAAGCUGUGACCGGCAGGGGGGUCAGAGGGAAAAGAGGCGGGGAAAUGAACAACUAGGAUCCAGCAUGGCUGACACAGUAACUCAAGCUCAGACUACAGUAACAGCGCGGGAAGGAGAAGCUGCGACCAUAGACUGCACAUAUCAAACCUCUCGGUCUAGGUAUACUUUGUACUGGUACAGACAGUUUCCUGAUGGAAGGAUGGAAUACCUUAUUUAUCAGGAUGAUAAUAAAGCAAAUGCAAGGAGGGAUCGCUACUCUGUAAACUUUCAA